rnacentral:lncRNA from 1 species
AAAAAAAAUCAAAUUUUUUUAUUUAGAUGUCUUCCAAUACAAGGAACCAUACAAGCAUUCACAUGCAUUCAUAGAAACAAUGAGAAGAUGUACAAGCAUUCAUAUACCAAAACAAUUCGGAGAAGAUAGUGAAACAAAAUUACCACUUUCACAAUAGCUUUGGUUCCAAUGCUUGCUUUGUAUAGAACAGAGAGACCUAUAUAUUGCUUCCUUUGAAAAAGAACAGAGAGACCAAACCUGAAAAACAAACAUGAUAAUCUACUUAAAGAAGUCUUAACCUAAUAUUAAUCAAACAAUCUACUUCAAGCAAUCACAUCUGAAUCACAAAGGAAGCCAUCAACUUCGACACUGUGAACAGAUAACAUCAAAAGAGGA